GCCUCAAGAAAAAAAAGAGAUGACAACGAAAAUGGAUGGAGACGUGAGAGAGAAGGUGGCAUAAUAAUUGGGGUCAAGUGUGAGAUGUCUUCUUUGAUUCCUUCAAGGCUUAAGGACCACCCACCACCACUUUCUCACCUCCCCCUCUUCCUUUUUUAUAAUUAUCCUCGUGCUUCCGUAAUCUUCUAUACUACAUAGGGAUUAGUCAGUUGCGAAUCCGAAAUGCUAUAUUUCGUGAAUCUCAAGCCUCCAUUGAAAACACAAUACCAAAGACAAAAGUUGCAUACUGUUUGAUAUAUGUCUCACUGAUUAGGGAUGCCAUUUAGGUCAGGUUCGGUCUCAAUCCAAAAAAUAUAUAUUUUGUAGCCUUAUUUCGGUCUUGCUUCAACA